CAACCAAAAAACCCCACGGCCUAACUACGUGCCCAGCAGCCGCCGUUAAUACGUAGGUGGCAAGCGUUAUCCGGAUUUAUUGGGCGUAAAGCGAGCGCAGGCGGUUUUUUAAGUCUGAUGUGAAAGCCCUCGGCUUAACCGAGGAAGCGCAUCGGAAACUGGGAAACUUGAGUGCAGAAGAGGACAGUGGAACUCCAUGUGUAGCGGUGAAAUGCGUAGAUAUAUGGAAGAACACCAGUGGCGAAGGCGGCUGUCUGGUCUGUAACUGACGCUGAGGCUCGAAAGCAUGGGUAGCGAACAGGAUUAGAUACCCUGGUAGUCCAUGCCGUAAACGAUGAAUGCUAGGUGUUGGAGGGUUUCCGCCCUUCAGUGCCGCAGCUAACGCAUUAAGCAUUCCGCCUGGGGAGUACGACCGCAAGGUUGAAACUCAAAGGAAUUGACGGGGGCCCGCACAAGCGGUGGAGCAUGUGGUUUAAUUCGAAGCAACGCGAAGAACCUUACCAGGUCUUGACAUCUUUUGAUCACCUGAGAGAUCAGGUUUCCCCUUCGGGGGCAAAAUGACAGGUGGUGCAUGGUUGUCGUCAGCUCGUGUCGUGAGAUGUUGGGUUAAGUCCCGCAACGAGCGCAACCCUUAUGACUAGUUGCCAGCAUUUAGUUGGGCACUCUAGUAAGACUGCCGGUGACAAACCGGAGGAAGGUGGGGAUGACGUCAAAUCAUCAUGCCCCUUAUGACCUGGGCUACACACGUGCUACAAUGGAUGGUACAACGAGUUGCGAGACCGCGAGGUCAAGCUAAUCUCUUAAAGCCAUUCUCAGUUCGGACUGUAGGCUGCAACUCGCCUACACGAAGUCGGAAUCGCUAGUAAUCGCGGAUCAGCACGCCGCGGUGAAUACGUUCCCGGGCCUUGUACACACCGCCCGUCACACCAUGAGAGUUUGUAACACCCGAAGCCGGUGGCGUAACCCUUUAGGAGCGAGCCGUCUAAGUGACAACAUGCAA
rnacentral:rRNA from 1 species